GGCUCGAUAGCGCAACGGUAGCGCAUCUAUCUCUGAUCUUCCAGAGCGAACAAGACAGUUGACAGAAAGUUCUCGGUUCGACUCCGAGUUGAGCUA
rfam:Stereum hirsutum FP-91666 SS1 unplaced genomic scaffold STEHIscaffold_24, whole genome shotgun sequence.